rnacentral:rRNA from 1 species
CCUACGGGAGGCAGCAGUGAGGAAUAUUGGUCAAUGGGCGCGAGCCUGAACCAGCCAAGCAGCGUGAAGGAUGACGGCCCUACGGGUUGUAAACUUCUUUUAUAAAGGAGUAAAGUGAGGCACGUGUGCCUUUAUGAAUGUACUCUAUGAAUAAGGAUCGGCUAACUCCGUGCCAGCAGCCGCGGUAAUACGGAGGAGCCGAGCGUUAUCAGGAUUGAUUGGGUUUAAAGGGAGCGUAGUUGGGUUGUUAAGUCAGUAGUGAAAGUUUGGGGCUCAACCUUGGAAUUGCAAUUUAUACUGGUAGUCUUGAGUACAGUUGAGGUAGGCGGAAUUCGUGGUGUAGCGGUGAAAUGCUUAGAUAUCACGAAGAACUCCGAUUGCGAAGGC